UGCGAAUAUAAGAGGAAAGCUUUAUUGAUCAAGGUGGGGCUCUAUGACGUCUUGGUCUGGUCGUUGAACACAAACGAAGUACGCGAAGUUGCAGCUAUGGCGAACUUUUAAUCUAAACAAAACCCAAAGUCUAAACGAUGCCCUAAGGGUUGCAUAUAUGGAGGAAGAGGCGGGAAUUUCAUGGCCCUUGGAGGAGGGGUCCGAAACCAACCCUAACUGUUGUUUCGCCACACAUACGGACUGUAAAAAACAGCCUAUACUUGACUAUUUCGAAAUUACAUGGGCAUGGCCCAAAAAUAAGGUGACGUAGCACCUAUAAUAGCCUCUGGACGAAAUUUAUGAAUUGGCAUCUUGUAUAUUUCGUCCAAGGCUUCAUGCACUCAUUAUGGUGGCUUCAAAGUCCUGAAAUCAUCUCUUGUAACUCCGUUCUUGUUCCCCUUGCACAUGCCAUCAUCUCCACGCAUAAUCUUGCUCCAAUGUUCAUCCCUCUUGUCCAAGCUAGGCCCUUCAUUUGUAAGCAAGACAAAUAUAUCCAAUUUAGGCAGCAUCAUAUUCUCAUAAACAUUAAAAUUAUUACCAAGAAACGAAAGUAUCUGUUAAUUUAAUUGGCGUGCAUGAGCUCUAGUGAUUGGUCCAAUAUGUAUAGCAGCAAGGGCUGUAGGUGUAACAAUGGUAUUGAUGUCCUCAUCAACAACACUCUCAAACUCACAGGCAAAGCUAGAUUUAUGUUGUCCAUCCCUGUUUUCUAAAAAGACUCAUGUUGCACACCUAUUUUACUAACAAGAAUCAAGUUGCCACCUAGGCAUCGUAUUGCCCAAUUGGUUUCUAUAUUGAGUGAUACGCUAUAGUGAGUAACUAAGAUGGUGAUGGUAGCCAUUAUGACAUUUUCAUCCUUUUCAAAGCAAGGCUGGGAAGGUACGUAUAGUUCAACCUUCUCAUAAUAAUUUGUGAGAAAGAACAGUACUAUGGUUUGGCUUACAUUUUAAUUAGUAAUUUUUGUUCAAAUUUCAUUAUAAAGAUUUUCUCAUUUUCUUCUAAACUGUGAGACUUGCUCUAGCACGUAAGUUGAAGUACUGCUUCCAUCAUCAAGAACUACCUCGGACACCUCCCAGCCGGUCUCACAUCAACGACAUGCUAAGAAAUACAACAAGAAGAAAGCCGAUGGAAUCAUCACCUUUUCCCAUACUUUCAAUUAGUCACAUAUGAGGUUUACUGGAAGGUGGAGUAAUAAAACUGAGAUUUAUACUACUUGAACUGGAAGUAUUAUUUUCACUUUGUGUCAUAUAUUGCAGGCUUGCUCUAAAUUCUCAGGAUUCAUCGACAAUGUAAAUUUGCAGGUAGUAGCUAGCUACUGAAUCAUCAUUUUUUACGCUUUUUGGUAUUUUUUUUAGAUUUAUUGAUGCACAAUGUAUUGUAUGCGUACAGUUGCAUGGUGGUUUUGGUAAAGAUCGCCAAAAAAAUAAGUUUAACAUAUUUGGAAAGCAUCACCAUACUUACGACGGUUCCAAAUUUAAUUUUACUUAUUAGGAUGAAAAUGCAUUUUUCAGUUUUGCAAUUGUGCUAUGUGCACAUGCUGGGACCUGUGGCAUAUAUCAUCUACUUAGAGAAGAUUAUGGAUGGUGUAUAAGGAAGUCUGGCAUGGAUUCCUAAAAGUAUCACAUCUAGGCUGCUCAUGCACUCCCUCAGUUCCUAAAUAUUUGUCUUUCAAGAGACUUCAACAAGUGACUACAUACGGAGCAAAAUGAGUGAAUCUACACUCCAAAAUAUGUUUAUAUAUAUCUGUAUGUGGUAGUCCAUUUGAAAUCUCUAAAAAGACAAAUAUUUAGGAACAGAGGGAGUAUAUAACAUAUGUACUUCUCUUGCACUUUAUCUGGUAUUUUGUAUAGUGCAUUUAGCAACGUGUGGUUUAAGAUUUUUCCAAAUUAAACUGAAGUACCAAAUUUUAUAUUGUGUGAUUGUCGUCUCAACAUCUUCGGUAGGUUUGUAAUGAGGUCAAUUCACUUGGACACUAUAUUAUCCAUUCUGAUUGUAUUUUUCAGAUUAUGUGUCGUGUUAGUUCACCUUUGUUGUAGAGUAUUGUCCUUUUUCUGCCAUACUGGAAGGUUGAAGAAAAGGAGAUGAGGGUAGUGUCAUUACAAAGUUGAAACUUCAGAAGGUUUUCAUUCUGUCACUUCUUUGCGAUAAAUUGUUUGUCGUCCGUCUUUCCAUCUACCUGAUUACUCAUACCUCUGUGUCACAAAAGCAACCAUUGUUCCCAUGUACAAAGAUGAAUAGAAGUUCUUUUUGAGAAACUGAUAGCCUAUUCAAUUUCUGAAUAAAGCCUUCCGUUAAGAAGUUGAAGGCAUGGUUAUGUAGAAAGGUAUUCCCUCCAGUAAGGUAUAACUAACAUGGUAUUAUUCUCCCAAUCAACUCAAACUGAUUUUUGCAUGGAACUUGGAAUGGUUCCUCAAGUACAUGUCAGUCCCAAAUGUAUGAAUCUUGGUACUUUAAAAAAAAUAUUUCCACAAUGACUCGGUUUUAACUCAAUAUUAUACCAUUUUGGAAAGUAUCUAGCUCAAUACCCAAUUGAAUUCUUAGCAUAUUAAUUUCUACCUUCCAGUUUGUUGUUUGCUAAAAAACCAUAUCAGCGUUAAGACUACGGCCAACCACUUUACAAUACUAUUUUGUACCACUCCGCACAUUUUACAUGUUGGCACUUUACCUGUGACAAAGAAUGCUCUAUGGGUGCCCAGUGUCAACCAUUCUUAAAUAUUUGGAUUUUAACAGCUAUAGUUAGAACAAUUGCAAGCAUUCUUACCUCACUAAAUAUAUAAUGUGUUGCAGACAUAGCCGCCUUAUCUGUUCCAAAUUGUUAUCUCUGAACUAUUUCAUUUGUCAGCAAGGUACUUCUUUCUGCAUUUACAGAUAAAUAACAAUAUUGGAGUAAGGGCUCAACUGAUUUGACAAAACCAAUAUCAGUUAUGUAUGCAUCACGGAUGUGCUUCUAAAGUUAUGUAUGCACCAUAGAGGAAGCAAGAUCAUUUAAUCAGUUACUAUAACCUUUCUUUCUUACCUAGCAAUUCAGAUCCAGUUUCACAAAUAAUAGAAAAUUCCAAGAAUCUAAUUGUUAAAUAAAAUAUUAGAACAAGUAAUUUGGUAACCGUGCCAUGCAUGCCUACAAUUUACUCCUGGUUCAUAGAGAGAGGAGAUGGUAAGGCAAAGGAAAGAUAUGCACCUGUUCGUACAAAUGCAGGGUAAGGGAAAAUAAUGCAUAGUAAAUUGAUACGCUCCUUCCAUUGAUGGAUGGAUAAGAGUCGCCGGCGCUGCUGCUAGAUGUGGAGACUCCGCUCAACAACGCAGGCGUCGGAGGAGAUUGCAGAUUUAGCGGGGACGACCUAGCACACAGCAAAGGCGAACGGCCAGAUGGCCGCAGCUCCGGCCGGCGCUGCGAUGCGGUUCGCGAGGAACGACUUUGCGAGGUUACUGAUGCACGCACUGUCAACGAGAGGCACUUGCGCAGCCGCUCUCAUGGGGCUAGUCAGGCGAGCGAACUAGAGAAGACGGCGGCGUAGACCGCGGCCACCGAAGACGCUGAUGACCCUAGCAAAA
rnacentral:lncRNA from 1 species